UCAGUAUUUUUAUCCAGACAUCAUCGAUAGGUUCACUGAUGCUCAGAAAGUUCAAAGGAAAAGACAGUGGUCAUAUAGUUAGUAAACGGUGGCACUAUGGGCCACAUCAGAAUUGACUUCCCCUAAAGCCAGUGUUCGCUCUACUCUACUAGGUGGUGUCAGAGCUCCAGCUGGCCCCAAAGGCCUUUGCUAGUUGCCUGAGAUUGGAUGGGAGGAGGAAAGGAUGCUUGUGGAGGUGGAGAUGUUCGGAGAAUAUAGAGAAAGGAUUAGGAAGUUAACAUACAUAUAACCUGGAGAAGGAAAUGGCAACUCACUCCAGGAUUCUUGUCUGGGAAAUCCCACUGACUGAUGAACCUGGCAGUCUACAGUCCAUGGGGUCACAAAAGAGUCAAACACGACUUAGCGACUAGACACCAACAACAAUACCUAUCAUCAGGCCACCCAAAAUGGUGGCUCUCUCGCUGCCUGUAUGUCUUCUGCUCAAGCAGUGCCUGCUGCACCUACAGUGUGUUCACCUGACUGACCUUCCUACAUACUUGACCCCACCCCAGCUAAUGAGCGUUCUAAUUUUAGAGCAGAACGUCUCCACCUGAUAGCUUAUCAAAGGAGUGGUGAGAGACGUGCUUUUCUGCUGGUUUUCCUGGUAACUCAUGAGCCAACCUGACAAAUCCCCCCAUAACUGAUAACCUCCCCUGCCCCGGCGAGUGAAGCUGCCAUGUCCUGCCUGCUGAGUAUGGUGGGGUGUCACUCCAGAACCUUGCUUCAGACAAGCACAGCAGGAGCCCAACUCAGCGAAGCUCCCGUGGUAGAGGUGGAACGCGAAGAAAACCCAGCACAGGGGAACGCCCAUCGUGCUAGAAACCGGGACAGAGAAAAACCCUCAGCAGAAAGCUCACGUGGCCCAGUCUCAGAUUCCAGAAGACCUCCGGUUAAGAUGGGAAAUAACCAAUCCACUUCCUGGCAGACGC